UACGUAGGGUGCGAGCGUUUAAUCGGAAUUACUGGGCGUAAAGCGUGCGCAGGCGGUUUUGUAAGUCAGAUGUGAAAUCCCCCGGGCUCAACCUGGGAACUGCGUUUGAAACUACAAGGCUAGAGUGUAGCAGAGGGGGGGUAGAAUUCCACGUGUAGCAGUGAAAUGCGUAGAGAUGUGGAGGAAUACCAAUGGCGAAGGCAGCCCCCUGGGUUAACACUGACGCUCAUGCACGAAAGCGUGGGGAGCAAACAGG
rnacentral:rRNA from 1 species